GGUACUCUGGUUAUAUCGUGACUAAAGUUAAAUUUUUGUGCCAACAAAGUUACAUUGGAAGCUCAAACUCUGGCUGUAGCGUAAAUGCCCACUACUAGAUGGGACUUAUAAAACAGGCAGGAGGGCAUCCACCUGCUGAGCGCAGGGCGCAAAAAACUUCCUAUAGUUACGACUAAGCGGAGUAUCC
rnacentral:other from 1 species